UGGGGAAUAUUGGACAAUGGGCGAAAGCCUGAUCCAGCCAUGCCGCGUGAGUGACGAAGGCCUUAGGGUUGUAAAACUCUUUCGUCGGGGACGAUAAUGACGGUACCCGAAGAAGAAGCUCCGGCUAACUUCGUGCCAGCAGCCGCGGUAAUACGAAGGGAGCUAGCGUUGUUCGGAAUCAUUGGGCGUAAAGGGCGUGUAGGCGGUAUGUUAAGUCAUGUGUGAAAUCCCUCGGCUCAACCGGGGAACGACGCAUGAAACUAGCAAGCUAGAGUACCAAAGAGGGAUGUAGAAUUCCAGGUGUAGCGGUGAAAUGCGUAGAUAUCUGGAGGAAUACCGGUGGCGAAGGCGGCAUCCUGGACCAUUACUGACGCUGAGGCGCGAAAGCUAGGGGAGCAAACGGGAUUAGAUACCCUUGUAGUCCCUGAGCGGGCUGGCAAGGCGCAU
rnacentral:rRNA from 1 species